rnacentral:tRNA from 1 species
AAAGAGUUAGUUUAAUUCAAAACAUUAGAUUGUCAAACUAAAAAUAUUAUAUUUAAUACUCUUUA